AGCUUUGCGCAGUGGCAGUAUCGUAGCCAAUGAGGUUUAUCCGAGGCUCGAUUAAUGCUAAUUGAAAAAAAGUCAAUUAGA
rnacentral:snRNA from 17 species